rnacentral:tRNA from 2 species
AGGGGAUUAGGUUAACGGUAGACCAGCGGUCUCCAAAACCGCAUGUGGGGGUUCGAUUCCCUCAUCCCCUGCCA